CUCUCCUUCAUGAACAGAUCCAAAAGCAAACAUGUCUUUAAUAGCCAUCAUUAUUUGGACGCUCGCAACCUGCACCUGGAGUUCUGUGGGGCAGAUUCUGACUCAAUCUGAAGAUCAAACAGUGAAUCCUGAUCAAACUGUCACUAUUCACUGCAAUCAUAAACCAGCAGUAUACUGUAUUAAACCAAAUACCACUCUGUAUUGCAUGUCCUGGUUCCAUCAGAUUCCUGGAGAAGCUCCUAAACUCCUGAUCUCCUCCACAUCAGAGAGAGCUUCAGGUGUUUCUUCUAGAUUCAGUGGCAGUGAAAGUGGAAACCACAUGGAUUUUACUCUGACCAUCAGUGGAGUCCAGCCUGAAGAUUUAGGAGUUUAUUACUGUCAGAGUUAACAUGGUAUUAAGAAUGACGCAGGGAAUCUAUACUGGGUGUUCACACAGUGUAAAAGCAUCGUACAAAAACCUCUUUGUGUGAGACUGCAGCGCUGCAGCUUCGAGCUUCUGCAGAUGUUGAUGUUGAUGUUGAAGAUCAUCAUUCACCUCACUGACUCACUGUUGAUAAAGAAAAGCUCAUGGCCAAUGAAAUGAAAAUGAAUUUCACAUAUUAGCUAAUUUCCCAUUCUAGUUAAUUUUC